GCUAUAUCACGUUGAAACACCGGUUCAUAUAAGAUCACCAAAAUUAAGCAACGUCGAGCCUGGUCAGUACUUAGAUGGGUGACCACUUGGGAAUACCAGGUGCU